rnacentral:rRNA from 1 species
GAAACCGCAUGGUUUUGAUUUGAAGGGCGCUUUCGGGUGUCGCUGAUGGAUGGACCCGCGGUGCAUUAGCUAGUUGGUGAGGUAACGGCUCACCAAGGCCACGAUGCAUAGCCGACCUGAGAGGGUGAUCGGCCACAUUGGGACUGAGACACGGCCCAAACUCCUACGGGAGGCAGCAGUAGGGAAUCUUCGGCAAUGGACGAAAGUCUGACCGAGCAACGCCGCGUGAGUGAAGAAGGUUUUCGGAUCGUAAAACUCUGUUGUUAGAGAAGAACAAGGAUGAGAGUAACUGUUCAUCCCUUGACGGUAUCUAACCAGAAAGCCACGGCUAACUACGUGCCAGCAGCCGCGGUAAUACGUAGGUGGCAAGCGUUGUCCGGAUUUAUUGGGCGUAAAGCGAGCGCAGGCGGUUUCUUAAGUCUGAUGUGAAAGCCCCCGGCUCAACCGGGGAGGGUCAUUGGAAACUGGGAGACUUGAGUGCAGAAGAGGAGAGUGGAAUUCCAUGUGUAGCGGUGAAAUGCGUAGAUAUAUGGAGGAACACCAGUGGCGAAAGGCGGCUCUCUGGUCUGUAACUGACGCUGAGGCUCGAAAGCGUGGGGAGCAAACAGGAUUAGAUACCCUGGUAGUCCACGCCGUAAACGAUGAGUGCUAAGUGUUGGAGGGUUUCCGCCCUUCAGUGCUGCAGCUAACGCAUUAAGCACUCCGCCUGGGGAGUACGACCGCAAGGGUUGAAACUCAAAGGAAUUGACGGGGGCCCGCCCCAAGCGGUGGAACCAUGUGGGUUUAAUUUCAAAGCAACGCGAAGAAACCUUACCAGGUCUUGACAUCCUUUGACCACUCUAGAGAAAAGAGCUUCCCCUUUCGGGGGCAAAAUGAACAGGGGGGGCCAUGGUUUGUCGUCA